rnacentral:rRNA from 1 species
GGCGAACGCUGGCGGCGUGCUUAACACAUGCAAGUCGAACGGAAAGGCCCUGCUUUUGUGGGGUGCUCGAGUGGCGAACGGGUGAGUAACACGUGAGUAACCUGCCCUUGACUUUGGGAUAACUUCAGGAAACUGGGGCUAAUACCGGAUAGGAGCUCCUGCUGCAUGGUGGGGGUUGGAAAGUUUCGGCGGUUGGGGAUGGACUCGCGGCUUAUCAGCUUGUUGGUGGGGUAGUGGCUUACCAAGGCUUUGACGGGUAGCCGGCCUGAGAGGGUGACCGGCCACAUUGGGACUGAGAUACGGCCCAGACUCCUACGGGAGGCAGCAGUGGGGAAUAUUGCACAAUGGGCGGAAGCCUGAUGCAGCAACGCCGCGUGCGGGAUGACGGCCUUCGGGUUGUAAACCGCUUUCGCCUGUGACGAAGCGUGAAUGACGGUAAUGGGUAAAGAAGCACCGGCUAACUACGUG